rnacentral:rRNA from 1 species
UGGGGAAUUUUGGACAAUGGGGGCAACCCUGAUCCAGCCAUGCCGCGUGUGUGAAGAAGGCCUUCGGGUUGUAAAGCACUUUCGUAUGGAACGAAAUCGCGCGUACGAAUAAUUCGCGUGGAUGACGGUACCGUAAGAAGAAGCACCGGCUAACUACGUGCCAGCAGCCGCGGUAAUACGUAGGGUGCGAGCGUUAAUCGGAAUUACUGGGCGUAAAGCGUGCGCAGGCGGUUUCGCAAGUCAGGCGUGAAAUCCCCGAGCUUAACUUGGGAAUUGCACUUGAAACUACGAGACUGGAGUGUGGCAGAGGGAGGUGGAAUUCCACGUGUAGCGGUGAAAUGCGUAGAGAUGUGGAGGAACACCGAUGGCGAAGGCAGCCUCCUGGGCCAACACUGACGCUCAGGCACGAAAGCGUGGGGAGCAAACAG